rnacentral:lncRNA from 1 species
UGUAUAUCAAGAUUUUGAAUUACCUAUUAUAUGAACAUAAUCAAAUCUGAAUUAAAUAAUUGAUCAAUACGAUUACACAUUGAACAUUAACCUUAAAAUUAGAACAAACAACAUGACACAUACACUACAACAUCAACACUGCUACUACACCUUCGAGACAUACUAUCAUCCCUACAACUUUCCAAGAACAACAACAACCUAUCAAAAUUCAUUCCAGAACACUAAAUGCUAUUUUGUUGCUUGAUCAUAAUAUUAUUGCAAUUUUCCACUUUUCUCUAUUUCCACCAAAGGUAGCCACUUCCAACUCACACCAUCACUCAAGCUACUACUUUGCCAUCUAAUUAUGCGGGUUCUGCAUCCCCAGCAGCCUUAAGUCUGAAUAAUGGUAUGGCCCGCGUUUAAUCCAACCAAAAUAGGUUUAUUUGGGGUUCAAUUGAGAAGAAGCUAGACAAAAUCAUUUGGAACUGAUUUGGGGAUGAAAAUCAAUUUAGAUUUUGCUACAAAGAUUGGGGAAUUGAAAUUUUUAUUUGAGAUGGGAAAAGCGUUUCUUUCAAUUGGAAGGAAAAAUCUAC